GCAGAAACAUUCCAGCCAAUCAGCAGCAGACCCUCCCUCCCAGACCCUCCCACCUCCUGGACAGCAUCCAUUUUACAUUCAUUGUGAAGCUGCAUUCUUGGUGAGCUGUCCAGGAGGUGGGAGGGUCUGGGAGGGAGGGUCUGCUGCUGAUUGGCUGGAAUGUGUCUG
rnacentral:miRNA from 1 species